AGCCACAGAGAGACGAGAAGUUACUGAAUGGCUACCAAAGACGACUCACUGGAUAAGUUUCAGAGUAACAGCCGUGUUAGUCUGUAUUCGCAAAAAGAAAAGGAGUACUCCUUUUCUUUUCACUGGAUAAGGAGCAUUGACUAGAAACGCUCUGACCGGCAGUGGGGCGAAGAUGUUAAAGGCCUGCAGCAUUCUCCUCUUCUGCGCUCUGCUGACCCUGCCGCAAGGCACGCAGGGCUACUGGCCGCAGCUGAUAAUCAGGCACAAGGCUUCUGAGAAAGACUUUCCAGACUUCGUGUCCCACGUGCUCCAUGGGCAAAGUCUGGCGGAUGAGCAGCUCCGUGGUGACCCUGGAGGGCAGCUGCCAGACGCUGGAGGCAUACCCAUCGCAGAAAGCCAGCCAUCGCUCCUCGGCAGCCUGCUGUCUGUGGUGGGCAGGCUGUUAGGUGGGCAGGGAGCUGGGCGUCGGUCCAAUGCACAAGGGGCUGGAGAGGUGCCUUCCUUUGGUGGGAGGGGGGUUGGAGAGGCCAGACCUAUGCUCGGGAUGGAAGGUAGGAGAGCAGGACAGCCUGUCCAUGAGAGGCUGCUUGGCUCAAGAGGACAGGGAGCACGUCUCCCUUUGAUCAGAUGGCUG